UCUUCCUAUAAAUCUUCUAAUCUUAUUUUUGAUUGUCAAGGUUACAACACUACUCCCUCAGGUCCCACGUUUUUAUCUUCCAACCCAUUUGCUGGAAGGAGUUGGAGAACGUCCAACAAUGUGAGUAAUACACAUGUUGGAUCAGUGAAGUUGAGCUGAUAAACUGUCAGAGGAUUCAUAUGGUUGUUGUGGCAGUUAGUGCUCCUCAUAUAGUGUGGUAUGAGUUCUGGUUUUGCUACAUAUGCGAUCAUGGAUUCGUCAAGAAAGGAUCUCAAGAGGCUUUCUAGACAAUUAAUUUUCCUGAGAUAUCUCCAUCUGUGCUUUCCUGACACAGUCACCCAACAGUCCACUGUGCAUUAA
rnacentral:lncRNA from 1 species